AGAAAAAAAAAAAAAAAAGAAAAAGAAAAACAAAGACAAAACAAACAAAAUAGUGAACAUGGGAUCAUCAUGAAAAUCUACUGUAUUAUAAAUGUUGUUAUCUGUAAGUUUUAUGACAAUUGUGUGUGUGCAUGUGUGUGUUCUUGUGUGCUUGCAGAGUCCAGAGGAUGCUAGUGUUCUGCUCCACUAGUCUCCAUUUAUUCCCUUGAGACAGGUCUCUCAACAAACCUGGAUCAAGGCUGGCAGCCAGGAAGGCCGAAUAAUCUUCCUGUCUGGAUCAACUCCUCAGUGCUGGGGUUGCACAAUACUCCAUGUGGCCAUGCCCAGUUAAAAAAAAAAAAAAAAGAAGCCAGGUGGUGUGCCUUUAAUCCCAGCACUUGGGAGGCAGAGGGAGGUGAAUCUCUGUGAGUCUGAGGCCAGCCUGGUCUACAGAAUGAAAUGUGUGUGAGACUGAAGAGAUGACUCUUCAGUGGUUAAGAGCACUUGUUCUUGCAGAGGACCCAGGUUCAAUUCCCAGCAUCUACAUGGCAGUUCACCACUGCCCAUAACUCCAGUUCCAGGACAUCUGCUACGUUCUUCUGACCUCCCUGGACACCAGGCACAUGGGGGAUGGGGAUCUGAUGUCCCUGUGGGCAUCAGAGAACAACUUCGUGAAGCUGAUUCUCUUCUUCCACUUUAGCAUGACUUCCUGGGCUUGAACUCUGGUUGCCAGGCUUGCUCAGCAAGGCCCUGUACCCUCUGAGCCAUCUCACUGCCCCUAUAAAGGGCGCCUUCGUACUCCUUCACAGGGAUUUGCAAAGUAUAUUUAGCUGAUUUUUACUGACGGACACGUGAACAUAUACGUUGUUUUUCACUGUUGUGAGCACCACCACAGAAAACAACCUCUGCAUGUACAUCCUUGUACAAAUGUCCUGGGAUAGAUUCCUCAAAGCAGAACUGCUCGGUCAGGUUUCCAUGCAUGGUAUACAAUAAUUAUAUAAUAAUGUUAUACCGGUUCCCCUGAGGAUUAUAACCAUUUAUGACACCAUGAAUAAUGUACAAAAAUACUGCACAGAAGCACCCAUUUCUCAGAAGCCUCAUUAACACCAGAUAUUAAUCAGUCUUUAUUCAGUCAUCGGCCCAUGCGUACUAUUUUAUGCAGAAAAGAAUACUAUCCACCAAACAGCAGAAGGCGUCUAUAGUUACGAACUAGCUGAGCAUGGUGGCUCACACAUUAUUAGUAUGAAAAAUAAGUGUUCUAAAAGAAGGAAGGAUGUGUACUGAUGAAACUGGAAGGUGGUGUCUGGGGAUCUUGGCUUUUCAGAAUGCAGGAGAGACUUCCAUGUCUAAAUACUGAAGGGACUGGGGUUUGGAGCACCAAGGUCCUUGAGGAGGUGGAGCUCCUGGAUGCAGGGCUCAGGUGGAGGGAUUAAGUGCCGGAAGGAGGAGAGGAUGAGGGCAGUUAAAAAUAAGUCAGGGUGGUAGUGGGGGACAGGAAGUUGAGGGGGCUUCAGCUGAUGGCUUCGAUUUUUCACUGUCAAGUAGGAGUGAAGUUCUCCGUGGGGAGAAUGAGAGAGGAGGGAGACAAAGGUAGGAAACAGAAGAGCCCUGACAAGGACAGCCCGGGACUCCCAGCCCAGGGGGUGGAGAAGGAUGGCAAGGUUAGAGCCUGAGUUGCCAUGGCAACUGUCUGCAGCUUGAGCUCACACUGUCUUCAUCUGUGCUCAAGUGCAGGGGUGAGAGAGCAGACAGGGAGAGCUAGGUCCCGGGUUUCAUCAAGAGGGCGAGUUGAAGAUGACGGGAAUAAAAGAGAAUUAGAUUGGGUCAUCCAGAUUCCAGGGAGAAGGAUGUAAACCCACAAAGCCAUAGGCCGAUUAGGAGAAUGAAAGCAUCCCUGGGAAGACAAAGAGACAAAGAGCAAGGAAAUAGAGGUGCAGGAAAUGCAGUCACAGGAAUAAGCUGUCAAGUUGAAGGUUAAGGGGGUAGGGACUGGAGAGAUGGCUCAGUGGUUAAGAGGGCUAAGAGCACACGCUGCUCUUCCAGAGGAGUUAAGGAUAGGAACAUGGUUCUGCUCUUCCAGAAGACCAGAGUUCAGAUCCCAGCACCUAUGUCAGGUGUCUCACAACUGCCUGUAACUCUGGUUCUAGGGGACCAAACACCCCCUCCAAGGACACCAUGUGCACAGACACCCCUCCAAUUAAAAAAUAUAAAUAUAGGAACAGGAAUUUCUUCUCUCUUUUUUUUCUUAUGGUUAGAAGCCCUCACAGUCAUGUUGUGUGAAUUCAGAAAUGCCUGAAAUAUUCUGGCCAGUACACAUAAGACACACCCUGGGGAGCCCUUGUUGCCAGAAAGUUCUGGAACUUGACUUAGGUCCCUUGAAGUUGAUCGCCUUGAAAAACAAACAAACAAACAUGAAGUAGAUCACUGGAAACUUCUGACAUGGAGAGUGAUAAAGUCGGCAGCAUGAACCUCAGAGAAGAGUUUUUUUUUGACAAAGGGAAGUAGUUAUUUAUUUGUUUGUUUGUUUGUUUAUUUUAACAGAGUCUCAGUAUGUAGCUAUGGCUAUCUUAGAAUUCACUGGGUAAAUUAGACUGGCCUCACUCACAGAGAUUCAUCUAUCUUUGCCUCUGAUUACUGAUUAAAAGGCAUGUGCCACCACAUCUGGCAAAACAGUAAUGAUUUAAAGUAGUAGCAAAGGGCCAGGCAGCUGUGCACAUCUUUAAUCCCGACUUGGGAGGCAGAGGCAGGCAAAUCUCUGUGGAUUCCUGGCCAGCCUGGUAUACAGAGCAAGUUCAAGGACAGGUUCCAAAGCUACACAGAGAAACUCUUGUCUUGAAAAACAAAAACAAAACAAAACAAAACCAAAACCAAAAAAAAAGUAGUAAUAAAGGUGGGCAUCAUGGCAUACACUUGUAAUUCUAGUACACAGGAGGCUGAGGCAGGAGGAUUGCAAGUUUGAAACCAGCCUGAGAGACAUAGCAAGACCUUGUCUUUGUGGUCAUCAUCACCAUUAUUGUAGUUAUUAGUAUAUAGUAGUGAAAGUCAUAAUAAUAAAAUAAAGCUGAGGAAUGUGACUUAGUAGAAUGCUUCUCUACCACACACAAAGCCCUGGGUUCCACCCCCAGCACCAAAUAAGUUACAGAAAUGGAGAGGGUGAGUGCCGCUGGAUGCUCCCCCCUCCUUUGCUCUGCUCUGGUUUUUCUUCUUGGAACUUGGUUCAGUAGCCAUCUUGAGCCUGUGAGCACUUUAGCUGUGUAUCAGAGAUGCCAGGGCAGGCAGUGUUGUGUAACAGUUUCCUCCCAAAUUGUAACAUUCCAGCCUACAGGGGAGCUCCUUAAACUCAAAAAUAAACAACUCAAAGUAACUUCAGGAAGUUCCUGAAAUUGACCAGAUUCACUAGACACCCCUCCCACUUCCCCACUCCCCCCCCCCCAGAUUAAGUAGUAAAAACAGAGUUUGCUCAAAAGAGCAGCCAAGCGGUACAGAAAACCCUCAGACCAGACCAGCUUCCCCCAAAGAAGCAGAAACCAGCUGAGCUGCCUAGAAGGGAUUUAAACCAACUGAGGCACAUGGAAAGGACCCUCUCCAACCUCUUGAGUUGCCAGUAGGCUGUGCAGUGUGCUCCAGGUUCCCAUCUUUGUGAGCUGUCAUCCUUGCUAGGGUGGUGAUGCAGCUGUCUUUGAGUAACCCCUCACCCAUAUUCCUGUAAUCCAGUGGUUCUCAACCUUCCUAAUGCUGCGACUUUUUUUUUUAAGAUUUAUUUAUUAUGUAUACAGUAUUCUGCCUGCAUGUAUCCCUGCAGGCCAGAAGAGGGCACUAGAUCUCAUUACAAGUGGUUGUGAGCCUCCAUGUGGUUGCUGGGAAUUGAACUCAGGGCCUCUGGAAUAGCAGUCGGUGCUCUUAACCACUGAGCCAUCUCUCCAGCCCGCUGCGACUCUUUAAUACAGCUCUUCAUGUUGUGGUGACCCCCGACCAUAAAAUUAUUUUCAUUGCUACGUCAUAACUGUAAUUUUGCUACUGUUAUGAACCAUAACGUAAAUAUGUGUGUUUUCUGGGGGUCUUAGGACCACCCGUGAAAGGGUCCUUUGACCCCCAAAGGGUUUGCAACCCACGGGUUGAGAAUUGCUGUGUAAGUAACCCCAAUAAAACUUAUUGUUCACCAGCUUGGACUUGGUGUCAUCUGUACUAUGGUGUGCCGUAGGCUCCCUGUCUGGGGUGAGUAGACGUGUGUGGCAUCUCCCCUGGAAAAGUUUGUCACACGACAGGCAGAAAGGCAGGAUGACCACAUGUUGGUCACUUUCUGCUCAGAUGAAAUAACUGAGAGAAUCAACCUUCAAGGAGAAGAGGCUUUAUUUGGCGCCCAGUCUGGGAGAGUCCAGGGCAUGAGCUCUUGGCCCUUUGGCUUUGGGCUUGUGGUGAGGCAGCAUAUCUUGGUGGUGGAACAAACCCAUUCACCUCAUGGCAAGAGAACAAAAGAGGAGAGACCUGUUUCCGACACGCCUCUCUAAGGAACUCUGUCUCAGCCAUCUUAUUUUCCAGAACUAGUUCUCCUGUAGCCCAGGCCGGACAGGGAUCUUGCUACAUAGUCAAGGAUAUCAUUGAAUUUCUGAUAUUUUACGUCCACUACCUCCGUGCUGGCAUUACAGGUGUCUACCGCCACACCCAGUUUUUAUUCAGUGCUAGGGAUCAAACCCAGGGCUUUAGGCAUUCUAGGCAAGCAAUCUACUAAACACUGAGCUCAUCCCUGCUCCUUUAUUGGUUUUUUUUUGGGGGGGGGGGAGGUCAUUGUCUCACAUAGACUUGCUAUAUAGCUGAGGAUAGCUUUGAACUUAUCCUGUGCCUUUUCCUCCCAAAUGCAGCAACUACAAGGCUCCCACACCAGGCCUGGCUCAAUCCCUACCUCUUUUGUUUUAUUUAAUUUGUUAUUAUGUGUGUGUAUGAGGGACUGAAGGUGUGCUUGUGCCGUGGAGAAAGUCAGAGGAUGACUUUCAGGAGUCAGGUCCCUCCUUCACCUGUGAGUUCCAGGGCCUGCGCCCAGCUUGUUCAGCGUCCGUGGUAGUCACUCUGACCCCUGAGCCAUCUCCCCCGGCUUGCUCGCCCUAGUCCUUGUUUGUAUGUCUGUUUAUUGAGACAGGGUUUCUCUGCACAGCCCUAGAUGUCCUGGAACUCAUUCUGUAGACCAGGCUGGCCUUGAACUCAGAGAUCUGCCUGCCUCUGCCUCUGCCUCCUAGAGCUGGGAUCAAAGGCUUGUGCCACCACCACCCCGCUGCAGGCCCUCGUCUUCAUGGCCUUUCUAUUUCCCAACAGGGCCACCCUGGGAACCAAACUUUGAGACAUAUGGGCCUUUUGGGGGAUAUUCAAGAUGCACGCUCUAGCAGAUCACAGGUUCUUGCUGUUCUAAGAGGUGCUCCAGCCCUGUUCUGCCAAUCUCAGGAUUUAACAAGGUUUUAUGUCUAUGGGGAACAAUUCGAGAAAAAAAUGAAGUCAAGCUUUUGGCCCAGGGAGAUGGCUCAGAAGGUACUUGUUCUCUGACAACCUAAAUUCAAUCCCUGGGACCUACAUGGUGGAAGAAGAAAAGAAUGACCCCUCAGGGUUCUCCUCUGACCUUUCAUAAGGUACCCACAUGCUUACACACAAUAAAUAAAUGGAAUACAACAUUUAAUAAAAUUUAAAAACUA